GUCUACUGCCAUGCCAACCCAAACAAGCUGGAUGCCUGAUCUAGGAAGCUAAGCAGGGUCGAGCCUGGUUAGUACUUGGAUGGGAGACCACCUAAGAAGACCAGGUGCUAUAGGCA
ensembl:rRNA 5S_rRNA 5S ribosomal RNA